AAUGGUAUCGAUGGAAGUGGUUACAAAGGAGAUAUUGCUUUGGACCAUAUUUUUCUGUUCUCUGGUAACUGUGGCGAACCUAUUGUACCUAUUGGAGCAUCAAUAAGUCUUGAAGAGGCUUUAACAAUUGCGGAGUUUAUUGGUGUUAUAACUGGAAUACUGGGGUCUGGUGGUGUUGGAGCUAUUGUUAUUGGGUG